rnacentral:rRNA from 1 species
UAGGGAAUAUUGCACAAUGGGCGAAAGCCUGAUGCAGCAACGCCGCGUGAGUGAUGAAGGCCUUCGGGUUGUAAAACUCUUUUCAAGAGGAAGAGGAAGGACGGUACUCUUGGAAUAAGCCUCGGCUAACUACGUGCC